rnacentral:lncRNA from 10 species
GCCGGGCGUGGUGGCGGGCGCCUGUAAUCCUAGCUACUCGGGAGGCUGAGGCAGGAGAAUUGCUUGAACCUGGGAGGCAGAGGUUGCAGUGAACUGAGAUCGUGCCACUGCAUUCCAGCCUGGGCGACAGUGAGACUCUGUCUCAAGAAAACAAAAAUAAAAAUAAAUUUUAAAAAAGUCAUAAAGUUCACUGCUCUUACUAAGAUUCAGCUGCUUUUCUUGAAUAAACACUUUACAGAUUUUUGUUGUUGUUGUGGAGACAGAGUCUCACUCUGUCACCCAGGCUGGAGAGCAAUGGCACGACCUCAGCUCACUGCAACCUCUGCC